AGUGAACGCUGGCGGUAGGCCUAACACAUGCAAGUCGAACGGCAGCACAGUAAGAUCUUGCUCUUACGGGUGGCGAGUGGCGGACGGGUGAGGCAUACAUCGGAAUCUACUUUUUCGUGGGGGAUAACGUAGGGAAACUUACGCUAAUACCGCAUACGACCUACGGGUGAAAGCAGUGGAUCUUCGGACCUUUCGCGAUUGAUUGAGCCGAUGUCGGAUUAGCUUGUUGGCGGGGUAAAGGCCCACCAAGGCGACGAUCCGUAGCUGGUCUGAGAGGAUGAUCAGCCACACUGGAACUGAGACACGGUCCGGACUCCUACGGGAGGCAGCAGUGGGGAAUAUUGGACAAUGGGCGCAAGCCUGAUCCAGCAAUACCGCGUGGGUGAAGAAGGCCUUCGGGUUGUAAAGCCCUUUUGUUGGGAAAGAAAAGCAGCAGGUUAAUACCCCGCUGUUCUGACGGUACCCAAAGAAUAAGCACCGGCUAACUUCGUG
rnacentral:rRNA from 1 species